GUCCCACCGCCAUCUUUGCGGUGGGUUCUGCUGAAGCCGAACGAUCCUGCAUAUUGUGUUUUUUGUUGUUGUUGUUUUAAGCCCUGGGCUUUCCAGGCUGAACUUUCUCACUACCAUUACACUGAAAAAGAGCCCUUGAAAGUUUUGCUCGGAUCUUGCACAUUCUUUUGGAAGUCUUACUGUGGAAAUUGUCCGUGUUUUCAGCUUCCACAUCCCUUUCUCCUGGGAGAUUUCUUUUCCGUUUUUUUUACUUUGUCUCUUUUCUUUCCUCCGCAACUGCUUUGUUGUUGUUGUUGUUGUUUCUUGUAAACCACUUCUCAAAAGUGAACUAGUUGCCGUUUAAUAGAAGUUUGGAUGAACUGCCCCCAAAAUAAAGGAAAUCCGAACAGUC
rnacentral:lncRNA from 1 species